rnacentral:rRNA from 1 species
CGGAAAGUGGCGCACGGGUGCGUAACGCGUAUGCAACCUACCUUAAUCAGGGGGAUAGCCCGAAGAAAUUCGGAUUAACACCGCAUAAAAACACAGGAUAGCAUUAUCCAAUGUUCAAAUAUUUAUAGGAUUAAGAUGGGCAUGCGUGUCAUUAGCUAGUUGGCGGGGUAACGGCCCACCAAGGCGACGAUGACUAGGGGAUCUGAGAGGAUGACCCCCCACACUGGUACUGAGACACGGACCAGACUCCUACGGGAGGCAGCAGUAAGGAAUAUUGGUCAAUGGAGGCAACUCUGAACCAGCCAUGCCGCGUGCAGGAAGACAGCCCUCUGGGUCGUAAACUGCUUUUAUUCGGGAAUAAACCUAUCUACGUGUAGAUAGCUGAAUGUACCGAAGGAAUAAGGAUCGGCUAACUCCGUGCCAGCAGCCGCGGUAAUACGGAGGAUCCAAGCGUUAUCCGGAUUUAUUGGGUUUAAAGGGUGCGUAGGCGGCUUAUUAAGUCAGGGGUGAAAGACGGUGGCUCAACCAUCGCAGUGCCCUUGAUACUGAUGAGCUUGAAUACACUAGAGGUAGGCGGAAUGUGACAAGUAGCGGUGAAAUGCAUAGAUAUGUCACAGAACACCGAUUGCGAAGGCAGCUUACUAUGGUGUGAUUGACGCUGAGGCACGAAAGCGUGGGGAUCAAACAGGAUUAGAUACCCUGGUAGUCCACGCCCUAAACGAUGAAUACUCGCUGUUAGCGAUACACAGUUAGCGGCUAAGCGAAAGCGUUAAGUAUUCCACCUGGGGAGUACGCUCGCAAGAUG